GCACGCUGCCGUCGGGCAGGAUCUGCAGGUGGAAGCCGGUGCGGCAGUAGAGCUGCCGCCGCCGCAGGAUGCCCUGCAGAGAAGAAGAAAGAAAGAUUGUGGCUCAUCUAAUCCAUCUUCUUUGGGGUUUUUUAUUGAGCCCGUAGCCAAGAUUCUGUUCCAGAGGAGCAUAUGCAUUUUUUUCAUCCCCAGAGUAGAAUGGUUCACACAGGAAAAUAUAUUUUGG